CCUACGGGAGGCUGCAGUGGGGAAUAUUGGGCAAUGGGCGCAAGCCUGACCCAGCAACGCCGCGUGAAUGAAGAAGGCUUUCGGGUUGUAAACUUCUUUUAAGAGGGAUGAGCAGAAGACGGUACCUCUUGAAUAAGCCACGGCUAACUACGGUCCAGCCGGCGCGGUAAUACGUAGGUUGCCAGCGUUUUCCGGAUUUACUGGGUGUAAAGGGCGUGUAGCCGGGGUGACAAGUCAGAUGUGAAAUUCCGGGGCUCAACCCCGGACCUUCCUUUGAAACUGUUGGUCUUGAGUAUCGGAGAGGCAGGCGGAAUUCCUAGUGUAGCGGUGAAAUGCGUAGAUAUUAGGAGGAACACCAGUGGCGAAGGCGGCCUGCUGGACGACAACUGACGGUGAGGCGCGAAAGCGUGGGGAGCAAACAGGAUUAGAUACCCGAGUAGUC
rnacentral:rRNA from 1 species